rnacentral:rRNA from 1 species
CUACGUGCCAGCAGCCGCGGUCAUACGUAGGAUCCGAGCGUUAUCCGGAGUGACUGGGCGUAAAGAGUUGCGUAGGUGGUUCAAUAAGCGAAUAGUGAAAGCUGGUGGCUCAACCAUUCAGAUUAUUAUUCGAACUAUUGAACUCGAGAGCAGAAGAGGUAGCUGGAAUUUCUAGUGUAGGAGUGAAAUCCGUAGAUAUUAGAAGGAACACCGAUGGCGUAGGCAGGCUACUGGGCUGUUUCUGACACUGAGGCACGAAAGCGUGGGGAGCGAACCGGAUUAGAUACCCGGGUAGUCCACGCCGUAAACGAUGGAUACUAGCUGUUUGGGGUAUCGACCCCCUGAGUAGCGAAGCUAACGCGUUAAGUAUCCCGCCUGUGGAGUACGAUCGCAAGAUUAAAACAUAAAGGAAUUGACGGGGACCCGCACAAGCGGUGGAUCAUGUUCUUUAAUUCGAUGAUAACCGAUAAACCUUACCAGGUCUUGACAUCCU